rnacentral:rRNA from 1 species
AGAGUUUGAUCAUGGCUCAGGAUGAACGCUGGCGGCGUGCCUAACACAUGCAAGUCGAGCGAUUUACUUCGGUAAAGAGCGGCGGACGGGUGAGUAACGCGUGGGUAACCUGCCUCAUACACAUGGAUAACAUACCGAAAGGUAUGCUAAUACAAGAUGAUAUAAGAGAUUCGCAUGGAUUUCUUAUCAAAGCUCCGGCGGUAUGAGAUGGACCCGCGUCUGAUUAGCUAGUUGGUAAGGUAACGGCUUACCAAGGCGACGAUCAGUAGCCGACCUGAGAGGGUGAUCGGCCACAUUGGAACUGAGACACGGUCCAAACUCCUACGGGAGGCAGCAGUGGGGAAUAUUGCACAAUGGGCGAAAGCCUGAUGCAGCAACGCCGCGUGAGCGAUGAAGGCCUUCGGGUCGUAAAGCUCUGUCCUCAAGGAAGAUAAUGACGGUACUUGAGGAGGAAGCCCCGGCUAACUACGUGCCAGCAGCCGCGGUAAUACGUAGGGGGCUAGCGUUAUCCGGAUUUACUGGGCGUAAAGGGUGCGUAGGUGGUUUCUUAAGUCAGGAGUGAAAGGCUACGGCUCAACCGUAGUAAGCUCUUGAAACUGGGAAACUUGAGUGCAGGAGAGGAAAGUGGAAUUCCUAGUGUAGCGGUGAAAUGCGUAGAUAUUAGGAGGAACACCAGUAGCGAAGGCGGCUUUCUGGACUGUAACUGACACUGAGGCACGAAAGCGUGGGGAGCAAACAGGAUUAGAUACCCUGGUAGUCCACGCCGUAAACGAUGAGUACUAGGUGUCGGGGGUUACCCCCCUCGGUGCCGCAGCUAACGCAUUAAGUACUCCGCCUGGGGAGUACGCUCGCAAGAGUGAAACUCAAAUGAAUUGACGG